GCUUGUCUCAAAGAUUAAGCCAUGCAUGUCUAAGUAUAAACUGCUUAUACUGUGAAACUGCGAAUGGCUCAUUAAAUCAGUUAUAGUUUAUUUGAUGGUACCUACUACUCGGAUAACCGUAGUAAUUCUAGAGCUAAUACGUGCGUAAAUCCCGACUCCUGGAAGGGACGUAUUUAUUAGAUUUAAGGCCAACCGAGCUUGCUCGUCUCUUGGUGAAUCAUGAUAACUGAGCGAAUCGUAUGGCCUCGCGCCGACGAUGGUUCAUUCAAGUUUCUGCCCUAUCAGCUUUCGAUGGUAGGGUAUUGGCCUACCAUGGCAUUGACGGGUAACGGAGAAUUAGGGUUCGAUUCCGGAGAGGGAGCCUGAGAAACGGCUACCACAUCCAAGGAAGGCAGCAGG
rnacentral:rRNA from 1 species